GGUAGCCAAGUGGAAAAUUGGCGGCCUAUAACUAUAGGCCCCAUUCUCAGCCGAAUCUUCUCCUCCAUUAUCGACGGGAGGAUCAGGAGGGAUAUUGUAUUGAAUAUAUGAGGCAGAAGGGUUUUACAUCCGAAUGUCGAUGUAAAAUCAAUAUCGAACUACUAAAUUUUGCCUUAAGCUAUUGCAAAAGGAAUAAUGGCGGGCUAUUCACUAUUGUGGAUAUCUCGAAGGCAUUCGAUACGGUGCCCCAUGCAGCAUUGAAACCGUGCCUGGCAAGGAAGGCUGUGCCGGCAUGGCAAUUAGUAGUGGAUCAAGUGCUCGUGACUGGGCGCUAUCAACUGACUCCAUACGUAUAAGACGAGCAGAUCAGUAAGCUGAAGAACAAACUAAAGAAGAUAGGAUUCGUCGUAGGCAGGAGCAAAAAAAUGCUUUAGACAUCAUGGAUGAUAGCAACAUCCUUUAUGGACCUGGCAUUGAUGAUUCAGUGUGAGAUGAUCCAGCACCAAAUUAUGAGGGGCACAACAAUUCUACUUUUUUCCUAGACACCAUUGCCGUAUUUUUUAAUAUUUCUCCGUGAAAAUUUUAUACAAUAUUCUUCGAAUGUCAUACUUUAAUGUACUAUUGGUUUUAAUAAAGUGAUUUUAACUAUGUCGUCACAAAAAAUUCACAAAAAUAUGCCUUUUUUUGUACGAAUUAACCUUAGCCCCCCUUAAAGCAGUCACCAAGAUGUUGGACGGAACGUUUCACAAAAUUUAUUUCAAAUUAAAAAUUUUAUCAGAGUAACGCAGAUCCUUGUUUUUAUAUUUAUACAGAAGAUGACAAAUUAAUGUUGAUGGCCAUAUACGUAGACUGGUAGCAGCUUCAGACGAAUCUUUAAUCGACAAAUUUGUCAAUAAUUUAAAUAAAGAAUUCAAAAUUACGAGUUCGAAAGAAGUAAAGAGUUUUCUUGGACUUGAAAUUAAUAGAUUAAAAGAUGGUUAAAUAUUCAUUCAUCAGAGCAGGUAUAUCGAAAGCAUAUUAGAGAAAUUUAAUAUGAAUGGAGCAAACAGUGUCGAGACUAAUUGGAGCGAAAAUAACAUAGGCAACAAUGAUUGUAACGCACCAUACAGAGAAGCCGUAGGAAACUUAAUGUUUUUACAAAUCGGACCGCAGACAUGGGAUUCUUAUAUACAAAAGCAGGCGAUCUGGAAACCUUUAGCGA
rnacentral:lncRNA from 1 species